rnacentral:ncRNA from 1 species
AAAACGGCCCUUUUCAGGGCCACCAAAUGUAUUAUUAUUAUAUAUU